rnacentral:rRNA from 1 species
UACGGAGGAUGCAAGCGUUAUCCGGAAUGAUUGGGCGUAAAGCGUCCGCAGGUGGCUGUGUAAGUCUGCUGUCAAAGAGCGAAGCUCAACUUCGUAAAGGCAGUGGAAACUACACGGCUAGAGUGCGUUCGGGGCAGAGGGAAUUCCUGGUGUAGCGGUGAAAUGCGUAGAGAUCAGGAAGAACACCGGUGGCGAAGGCGCUCUGCUAGGCCGCAACUGACACUGAGGGACGAAAGCUAGGGGAGCGAAAGGG